rnacentral:rRNA from 1 species
AACGAACGCUGGCGGCAUGCCUAACACAUGCAAGUCGAACGAGAUCCUUCGGGGUCUAGUGGCGCACGGGUGCGUAACGCGUGGGAAUCUGCCCUUAGGUUCGGAAUAACAGUUAGAAAUGACUGCUAAUACCGGAUGAUGACGUUAAGUCCAAAGAUUUAUCGCCUGAGGAUGAGCCCGCGUAGGAUUAGCUAGUUGGUGUGGUAAAGGCGCACCAAGGCGACGAUCCUUAGCUGGUCUGAGAGGAUGAUCAGCCACACUGGGACUGAGACACGGCCCAGACUACUACGGGAGGCAGCAGUGGGGAAUAUUGGACAAUGGGCGCAAGCCUGAUCCAGCAAUGCCGCGUGAGUGAUGAAGGCCUUAGGGUUGUAAAGCUCUUUUACCCGGGAUGAUAAUGACAGUACCGGGAGAAUAAGCCCCGGCUAACUCCGUG